AUAGUUUUAAACCCAACGAAGGAGUAAUCAUCAUAGGAGCCACAAACUUCCCAGAGGCAUUAGAUAACGCCUUAAUACGUCCUGGUCGUUUUGACAUGCAGGUUACAGUUCCCAGGCCAGAUGUAAAAGGUCGAACAGAAAUCUUGAAGUGGUAUCUCAAUAAAAUAAAGUUUGAUCAGUCUGUUGAUCCAGAAAUCAUAGCUCGAGGUACUGUUGGCUUUUCUGGAGCAGAGUUGGAGAAUCUUGUGAACCAAGCUGCUUUAAAGGCAGCUGCUGAUGGAAAAGAAGUGGUA